AGUGAACGCUGGCGGUAGGCCUAACACAUGCAAGUCGAACGGCAGCACAGUAAGAGCUUGCUCUUACGGGUGGCGAGUGGCGGACGGGUGAGGAAUACAUCGGAAUCUACUUUAUCGUGGGGGAUAACGUAGGGAAACUUACGCUAAUACCGCAUACGACCUACGGGUGAAAGCAGGGGAUCUUCGGACCUUGCGCGAUUGAAUGAGCCGAUGUCGGAUUAGCUAGUUGGCGGGGUAAAGGCCCACCAAGGCGACGAUCCGUAGCUGGUCUGAGAGGAUGAUCAGCCACACUGGAACUGAGACACGGUCCAGACUCCUACGGGAGGCAGCAGUGGGGAAUAUUGGAUAAUGGGCGCAAGCCUGAUCCAGCCAUACCGCGUGGGUGAAGAAGGCCUUCGGGUUGUAAAGCCCUUUUGUUGGGAAAGAAAAGCAGCAGGUUAAUACCCCGCUGUUCUGACGGUACCCAAAGAAUAAGCACCGGCUAACUUCGUG
rnacentral:rRNA from 1 species